UCAAACAUAACAGCCACACCGCCAGAAGGCCUUACGCAAUCCCCGCCACCCCUUCCCUGCCUCCUCCCCGCUAGGCCCGCCGUCGCCGCCGCCUUCUCCUCCCUCGUGCCACCGAUCCACGCCACUGCCGCGUCUCCCACGACCGCCGCUGUCAACGACCGAGCCACUCCCGCUGCCGCGUCUCCGACCGAAGCGCCGCGGUCGGGGAGCCCGCUGCCGCAUGUCUGACCGAAGCGCCGCCGUCGUCCCCGACCGCUCUGUCAUCGACAAGGACUCCGCCUCCCCCGGACGCCCUCUGGUCGCACGCCCGCUGCCGCAGUUGAUCUCCUCCAAGCCCUCUUCUCCCCCGAGCCCACCGCCGCAGUCGCCGCCGGUGCCUCCCUCCACCACCGCGGCGCUGCGCUUCGCCACCGCCUUCGUGCCCCCAGCAGCAGGAGGGGCGGCGCGAUCGGGGCAGGGGUGGUCGCGUGGUACCUCGGCUCGAUAAGGCGACGGAUCCGUCUCUCGCCGCGCUCGCCUAGCCAGACCUCCACGACGGCGCCGCGGCCGCCACCUGCCGCCUGGACGUCCACUCACUCCACAUCAUGGCUCUCGCAACUUGUUGCAUCCUCCUCCGUGUUGCUCGUAUUGAGUCUGCGCCGACCACCAUCGUGGAGCCAUGCCGUCCGCGCUCAAGGGAAGCCAGAUCCGGGCCUUCGUGCUCCUUCCACCGCCCCGCCCCAUCCCCCUCUCUAGCCCCGUUCUCGAACGCGGUCACCCCUACCCAGGUGAGAUCUUCUUCCUCACCGCAACACAACUCCUGUGCCACUGUGCUUGCUCCACCCAAGAUCCAAACUGGGCCAUGGUCACAGAAGGUUGUCGUGCGGCACGGCAGUAGCACAGGAGGGGUGCGGGGCGAAGGCUUCGGCACCGACGUCAGUGAAGACGGCUCUCUUCGUGGCCAUGCUAGCGGAGAAGACACAGCUCUACACGUGCUCAGAGGUCAUGGCCCAGCUUGCCUUGUCUUGCGUGGAUGCGUUGCUUCCGACGGACAAAUCUGCACUCCACCAACAUCCUCAGCGCCAUCACCUUAUCAACCACGAGUUGGAUAGCACAAAUAGAAGAUCAAUAGUGACAUUCUAUAGGACUAUUACGUCUCCUGUCAUACUGUGACCAAAUGGCAUUGUUUGGUGCCACAACGAUAUCCCAGUUCAAUUAGUUAAUUCACGUGCUGACUUUCAAAUUAUCGGCAGGUCACAUUGUCAUUGGAUGAUAAAAUAGUUUUGGCAUGCUUCUCUUUUAUCCUCAUCGGACUAAGGUGCCUUCAUUCUAAUCUUAAUACAAGAGAAACUCCUAAAAAUGCUAUCGAGUUUCAUGCGUGUUUGUAAGAAGAAUAGUUUUCACUAAGUUACAUAGUUUUGAACUUUAUUAUCAUCCAAUUUUGUUUCCUGUUAGUCCAUCUUUAGUCUGUGUACCAAUUUAUAGUUUUGGACUAACUCCUAUGAUCCAUGGUCCACAUGCAAAAAUUAUUCUACGCAUUGCCUCUGGUCUACACACAAGUUUAGCCAAGCCCAUUUAUUGCAAAAACAUGUUCCCAUUUGACCCUCGUGGAGUUGAAGCAGAUGUUCAUGGUGUUCAAAGGUUGUUAUUUAUCUAUUCUAAGCUUUCUAUCUUUUGUGCCCUUUGUACCAUAUUAAUAUAUCUGGAUUUGUCUUUUAUCAGAAAUUAACUCCUAAGUGAUGUUUUUCUUUCAUUUGUCAUGAAACAUUCUGGUCUCUGUCCACAGCAAAUAGCUCUAAAUAUUCAGACAAAGCUAUCCUGAUGAACUACUUUCUGUACUGGAGAGGCUAGGGCAUUUAAAAGAGUUACGAAACUCAAAUAUGCAAUUAUUUAGAGGAAGAGCCUAGGGAUUAUUGUGAUCCUUCGUGUUUGUUAAUUUUAAACAGAAAAUAAACAUGCUUGAUCAGAUCUACACACAUUGUUUCUGUUCUGAACAAUUAAACUGACAACAUGUUUGUUUCUUCUAUAUUAGUAUAUGCUCCAUUGUCCAAAUACUUGUUGUUUUGGGGUAUGGUGGAUGUGCUAUUAUUAGGGCAGUAUAAAUAUUUGGGGUUUUGUGAUAAUUCUUCAUGAAGAUCAAAUUUGCUAACACUUUGGUUUUCAGCCAUUUUUAUUCCAUUGUCCACUCUGAAGUAAUUAUGAAAAAUUAAUUAACAGGUUCUACGUACGCUUGUUUCUUAAGAAGUAAUAUAUAUAAAAUGAAUUAUGUGUACAGCCACAACAUACUUUUCUUACUCUUCUGAAGUGGUAGCCUGGUAGGUUUUGUUUAUCAUAUAUCUAUAUUACCAUUCUAGGUACAUUUCUGGAGAUGCUACUCCUAGCCUAGCCAUUCUCCAUCGACCAUUGAGCUCUCCUCCCUCCCUCUCUCUCAACUCAAUACUACAACUAAAAUUCAGUUGUGUUCUUAGCACAACUGUGCAAUCUCUUAUUACAACCAUGCAAUCUCAUAGAAUUGUUGCCUGGUAUUUCACUUAAUCAAUUUUCUAACUACAGACAUUUUAGUGAGAGAAGGAGAAAGGAAUUAGAAAGGGACAUCUCUGCACACACCAAAAACCAGAGAUGAUCGGACCAUGGUGUCACUUGUGUUUCCUUUACUCAGAAAAAUGGAUUGCAGUUGGUUAUACUACCAUAUGCUUUUCUGGUGGUUAUUAUUUGUGCCAGGUGUUCAAUUAUGCCAACUCUGUGACCUACAUGACGCUGCCACUCUUUGUUUAUAUUUGCAUUGAACACAUUUUCUGAUGAGGCCUCGGAGGCAAUGACUGCAUGGACAUUCUUAGCUAAUGACUGGAGUUGUAGCUGGCGGAGCAUGGUAUGUAUAGCAAGGCCGUUCGUUUCAUUACUAGCUAUCCAGAGGCUUAAUCUUUUGCAAUUUUGAUCUUACUGUAAUCUUGCUAAAUCAGUUGGAUGGAAGCAGCUGAGAGGAGCUUGAACAUAGUACUUCUCCAUGUAUUUGUGGUACUUUUUGCGUUCGUUCAUGCAUUGGUGAUUGCCUGCAGGGGAGGGUCAGGUAAUUAAAAAGGCACUUGUGACGAAUUAAUUAGAUUUGUUUGGACUCUGA